rnacentral:rRNA from 1 species
UCCGAAGGGGGCUAUCGUUGUUCGGAAUAACUGGGCGUAAAGCGCACGUAGGCGGACUUGUAAGUUGGGGGUGAAAGCCCAGGGCUCAACCCUGGAACUGCCUCCGAUACUGCAAGUCUCGAGUCCGGGAGAGGUGAGUGGAAUUCCUAGUGUAGAGGUGAAAUUCGUAGAUAUUAGGAAGAACACCAGUGGCGAAGGCGGCUCACUGGCCCGGUACUGACGCUGAGGUGCGAAAGCGUGGGGAGAAAACAGG